ensembl:snRNA U6 U6 spliceosomal RNA
GUGCUCGCUCCAGCAGCACAUAUACUAAAAUUAGAACCAUAUAGAGAAAAUUAGCAUGACUCCUGCAAAAGGAUGACACAAAUCUGUGAAGCAUUCCGUAUUUUU